AUUUUCCUGCAGCAAUUUUUUAAAAUAUAAAUCUCUUCAGGGAAAAUAUAAAUGUUUCUAUAUAGUUAUGAGCACUAGAGAUACAAUGGCCCUUGUUCACUGUGUCUUAUCAGCCACAUAUUUCUUACUGGCAGUUUUUCCUGCUCAGUAAAUUUGCAUGUUUUGGGUGCAAUCUUUCACUUCCUUCAUUGCUUUCCACCUGAAAUGUUAAUAGCUUUUCCUAUUACAAUUUAUUUGUGGAAAACCACAAAUGUAGCUUUACACACAUUAAAUUAAAUUUCCCAUAGGUGAUAUGCAACAUCUUUCUGAAAAAGAAAAUGAAUCAAGGGGAGGAAAUGUUUUCAUGUAGAUAUUUAUAUCCUAUAUUAGUUUUAGACUAAAUGUUCUUCCCCAAUUGAAGAAAUCACAUGUCUGAGGAUGACUAAGGGUGACUUUGUUCCUCUUAACCGAAAGUGAAGCAACGUAGCAUAACCUUCUCUUUGACUUCUUUUAAAAUGGCUUAAAGAUAAGUAAACAUGUUCCUGCUUGCUAUUUUGAUCCUUUCUGUUUGUGGAUUUUCUGCAGCAGGGGAAAAACACCUGCUUUGCAGAUCAGAUGACCUAGACAUUUUGUAUUCCUCCUGCGGUCCUGGAGCUGCCAUGUUUUCUUUUACAGGAGAACCGUGUUCAUUGAAGGGUUCUGUAUGGCGGGUCGUAUGUUCUGAAUUCCGAGUGAGUGUCUAGGAAAUAUUAAGGGCUAGGGGUUUACAUUACAGAAAGCUGAAUACUCCAGUGUGGUAGUUUCUCCUGUCCAUUCAUGGAUUGUAUUGGAAGAUGAUUAGUGGGUUCUUAGAAAGUAGUUUCAUUUCUACAAGGAAGCACACACAAUUUUUGCUUCCUUCUGUAGCAUUUGCUACCUCCUGUAGCAGCGCCAUUUUCUUAGCUCUCAGGGUGAUCCAGGUCUCUCUCUCUCUCACACACACACAUAUACACGUUUAAUCCAUUUUUAUUCCAAAAGGCAUCAGAAUUACCUCUAAGGUGUGCAUGGAAGGCAUUCUCUCCGCAUUUAGAGCUGCACUAGACUCCUGGGAUCUCAAAUUAAUUCAGAACAACAACAACAACAACAACAACAACAACAACAAGAAUGUAUCUAUAGCCAUCACUAUGUUUGGCACAAGUAAAAGUACAAUAAAAUAGUUCUCUUCCAUCAGCUUACAAUCUAAUUAAGACAUGACACAUAAUAUUAUAAUAUUAUUAUGGAAGUGUGGG
rnacentral:lncRNA from 1 species